rnacentral:rRNA from 1 species
GAUGAACGCUAGCUACAGGCUUAACACAUGCAAGUCGAGGGGAAACGAUAUUGAAAGCUUGCUUUUGAUGGGCGUCGACCGGCGCACGGGUGAGUAACGCGUAUCCAACCUGCCCACCACUUGGGGAUAACCUUGCGAAAGUAAGACUAAUACCCAAUGAUAUCUCUAGAAGACAUCUGAAAGGGAUUCAAGAUUUAUCGGUGAUGGAUGGGGUUGCGUCUAAUUAGCUUGUUGGCGGGGUAACGGCCCACCAAGGCGACGAUCAGUAGGGGUGAUGAGAGGAAGGUCCCCCACAGUGGAACUGAGACACGGUGCAAACUACUACGGGAGGCAGCAGUGAGGAAUAGUGGUCAAUGGGCGAGAGGCUGGACCAGCCAAGUAGCGUGCAGGAUGACGGCACUAUGGGUUGUAAACUGCUUUUAUAAGGGAAUAAAGUGGGAGUCGUGACUCUUUUUGCAUGUACCUAAUGAAUAAGGACCAGCUAAUUCCGUGCCAGCAGCCGCCGCCG